GACCUGGUGGCUCAUUGGUCUAAGCGCGCGCACCAUAAUCGCGGUGACCCGGGUUCGAAUCCAGCUCAGGUCA